CUACGGGCGGCUCCAGUGGGGAAUAUUGCACAAUGGGCGCAAGCCUGAUGCAGCAACGCCGCGUGAGGGAUGAAGGCCUUCGGGUUGUAAACCUCUUUUAGCAGGGAAGAAGCGAAAGUGACGGUACCUGCAGAAAAAGCACCGGCUAACUACGUGCCAGCAGCCGCGGAAAUACGUAGGGUGCAAGCGUUGUCCGGAAUUAUUGGGCGUAAAGAGCUCGUAGGCGGUUUGUCACGUCUGCUGUGAAAAUCCAAGGCUCAACCUUGGACUUGCAGUGGGUACGGGCAGGCUAGAGUGCGGUAGGGGAGAUGGGAAUUCCUGGUGUAGCGGUGGAAUGCGCAGAUAUCAGGAGGAACACCAAUGGCGAAGGCACAUCUCUGGGCCGUAACUGACGCUGAGGAGCGAAAGCGUGGGGAGCGAACAGGAUUAGAUACCCGCGUAGUC
rnacentral:rRNA from 1 species